rnacentral:rRNA from 1 species
UACGUAGGUGGCAAGCGUUGUCCGGAUUUACUGGGUGUAAAGGGCGUGCAGCCGGGCCGACAAGUCAGAUGUGAAAUCCGCGGGCUUAACCCGCGAACUGCAUUUGAAACUAUAGGUCUUGAGUGCCGGAGAGGUAAUCGGAAUUCCUUGUGUAGCGGUGAAAUGCAUAGAUAUCGCGCAGAACUCCGAUUGCGAAGGCAGCAUGCCGGCUCCACACUGACGCUGAGGCACGAAAGCGUGGGUAUCGAACAGG